rnacentral:rRNA from 1 species
AGUGAACGCUGGCGGUAGGCCUAACACAUGCAAGUCGAACGGCAGCACAGUAAGAGCUUGCUCUUACGGGUGGCGAGUGGCGGACGGGUGAGGAAUACAUCGGAAUCUACUUUUUCGUGGGGGAUAACGUAGGGAAACUUACGCUAAUACCGCAUACGACCUACGGGUGAAAGCAGUGGAUCUUCUGACCUUGCGCGAUUGAAUGAGCCGAUGUCGGAUUAGCUAGUUGGCGGGGUAACGGCCCACCAAGGCGACGAUCCGUAGCUGGUCUGAGAGGAUGAUCAGCGACACUGGAACUGAGACACGGUCCAGACUCCUACGGGAGGCAGCAGUGGGGAAUAUUGGACAAUGGGCGCAAGCCUGGUCCAGCCAUACCGCGUGGGUGAAGAAGGCGUUCGGGUUGUAAAGCCCUUUUGUUGGGAAAGAAAAGCAGCAGGUUAAUACCCCGCUGUUCUGACGGUACCCAAAGAAUAAGCACCGGCUAACUUCGUG